GUCAACGGCUGUUCCAAUGUACAUGUUUAUGUUGAAAUCAGUUAAAUAAAUGGUGUUGUGUUGGAGUUUACUACAGUUGUACGGCUCUCUAUUUUUUAUCUGUAGGUUUUAUGGUACGACGGGGUCGUGCGGGGCAGGUAUUUAUAUUGCACCCCCUUUUUUCAUGCACAAAAAUAUCUAACCUCCCCUCUUUUUCCACCAGCCCCCCACCCCCCUCCCCUGUAAUUAAUGACCGGUCCCUAUAAUUUGCA